rnacentral:lncRNA from 1 species
UCAGGUGUCUUAGCAGCACCAGCUGCACCAUGAUUUGCAGUUAAUGCAACUUCAGUUUGAUCAAGAAGCCCUUCUAACUGCUUGAAGGGAUCUACAGUGGAAGCAGUACUACUAGUUGAGUCACCCAAAUCGAGCAAGUCUGGAGCACGUUCAUGAUUAACUUCAGUGUGUACAGCUGCUGCCUUUGGUACCUGGGGCUUCUCUGAAGCAUGGAUAUUCGCCUUAGACACCUUAUGGUUGGCAGAAGAUGGCCUCCUCUCGGUUUUUGAUGAUCCCCCAAACAGUGAACUGGCAAGCUUCUGCUUUUCUGGAGAAAUUUCAACCUGAGGCCUCCUUGACUCAUAAGUAUCACGUGCUUUUGAAUUUGAAGUGCUCACGCUAUCUAUUUGUGUGACCCCAUUCGCUGAUUUCUGGGAACUAGAACUAGAGGAAUUUGAGAUUGACAAUGCUGGAGAGGAAUACGUUGGCCUACCCCAUUUUCUUUGAACACCAUCUAGUCGUAACUUAAGUUCCGAAGAUCCUGCAUCUGAAACAGGUGGCAAUGAUGCAGGCUGGCGGAUCUCCCUAACAUAAGAUGGUUCAGGAACUGGAACAAGCUCGGUUGAGGAUGCAACUGCAGCUGGAGGAAUUCUGGAUGGCACUGCUGGCUUUGGAAGCUCAUAUGCCUCAAACCUAAGACCAUGGGUUAAAGCUUCAUGCUGAUCUUGGGUACUGAAGUUGCUGAUAUUUAACAUUCCAGAGCGCUCAUUCUCAGGAAUAUAGGGCUGAGCACCUUUCUCUAGUGCUUGCUGGACAUAGCCAUUGAGGAAUGAAAGUCUUUUGUCAAUCUGCAAGAGAAGAUGAAUAUUAAUAUUACACAAAAUAAUCUUAUCCAAGAAAUCGAUAAAUAAAUGGUUUCCGCAUGAUCCAAAAUCAAGGUUUUCAAGCAUAUUAGAGAAAUACAAUUGCAAAAUCCAUGAAAAGAGCAACUUAUAACUAAAGGGAAGAAAUAAGAUGCAGGUACCAGGGAUGAAGAAGUCGGGAAACUAAUUCAAGCAUGUCAUGUAAUACCAAUUAGAAUCACUUGAUUAACAUCCAGGUAUUACCAACCAAAGGCAGCUACAUAAAUUAAGUUUCGCCAGUAUAAUAGAUGCAUGUUGGUCAAAUAAGCAAUUUUAAUCAUUCAUAAACUGAUUCCGAAUUUUUCUCGAUCUAAACCACAAGAUCUAUAUCAUCAUGUUUAUAUGCGCCAAAACUACAAUAAAGCAAUCUUUGUAUUUUUUUUACAAGGAAAUCUACAAUUAGUGCCUCCAGCACGAGCAUACAUACUAAGUGUCAAGCAAUAAUAAGGCUUCAGAAACUCAGGUACAAUUUAAUAAUGAUAACUGGCAUUAUCACAAUUGGGACCCGAAGAUUAUUAUCUUCACAUUGAUCCAUGCAUGCAUACAUACACGAGAAUGAUAAAAGAAGGGAAAGCAAUAAUUUGCUGACCCUAUUAAAACCUGUGCAGUUGAUAACUGUAUACAUAUCAUUCAUAGCACAUUUUCAAAAUUUACCAAAUAAAAUAUCGGAAGGUCAAGAACAGCAUUAACCAAACAAUACAUGACAUCUUUCUACUUAAACAGAGUCAGAUUAUUUUUCAGUCAACAUUUACAAUGGCCUUUUUCUUUUGGACCAAAAAAAGUCCCUCAUUUAAUGAUUUGCUAGCCUAUUUAUAGAGGCUGACUGUUCAGUAUUUAAAAAAUAUCACUAAUGCCCUUGCAAUUGUCAGAUAUGGGCCCUUACUUUUUCUCAAACUUCAUCCCAUAAGUAGUACGGAUAGGGCAUAUUUAACAAGGAAGCAAGCAAAGCAAAGCUAUUCCUUCCGCAUUCACGGUCAGUUAGGAUACAUGUUCAUUUUUCAUAGUAUUUCUAUUUUGGAAAAUAUUCUUCUGGAUCUAUACAGUUUUAAAAAUAUUUAAUGUUGUGUCAUGAUUCAUAAUAACGUAUCUGUGAAACACAAACACAAUCAUGAUCUGAAAAACUAAAUUAUGUUGCAUCAAAGAUAAUGUAUCCAUAUGAGAAAGUACAUUAUCACGACGUGGAAAAGUGGUACGUCCCAUUAGAAAACAGGAGGUUCAGACAGUAAGCCAACAACCACCAAAUAACAAGGAAAAGAGAAAUGCGGAACUACUAUAGUUCUUAAUACUUUAAAGGAGAAGCAAAAAAACGAAGGGUACGAGUAGUUAAUGCAAUUAAAUAUGACCUCAAUGUCUUCACAACUUGCAUCUGACGGCAUAAUACUCUCAACUGCAGGAGCAUCUAAGCUAAUCACAGCUUGCAAUUCAUAUGCACGCUGCUGCAGAUCUGUUGGUCUAAGCUAAGUACGUUAUUUCUAGCAAUAAUUAUAUCGUACACAUUCAGCUAAGUCCAAUAAUUUAUAAAUCAAUACAACCGUAACACAUCGUUUGAUAAUGUGGGCACGUGACCCAGUUUUAGUGACCAAAAUGCAUGUUUUGGUGACCAAAUUGUAGCCCAAAGUUGCGGUCAUUAAUAGCUUUUUUAUUAGUGACUAAACAUUGAUAGUCACUAAUUCUUUGUGUUGUAGUCACUAAUUUCAUAAAACAAUUUCUUUCUUCUAUUGCUCUCUCUCUUCUCUCUCUCUCUUCCCUUCCUUUCUUCUGUUCUUGAAUAAUCAAACCUUCAUCUUAACAAUUUCAACUCUGAUUCAGCUUCUUGCUGACUAAGCCUUCAAUCAUUAAAAGAUUUGGAAACUACAUGCAUACAUACAUACAUAUAGUCAACCAUUCAAGAGCCAAUGUUGGAAACUAAGCCUUCAAUCUCAAUCAUAUGUUGAAUUUUGUGAAAGCGGCUUGAGCUGCUGCUCAGUCCAUUUUGUUUUAACGUCUCCUUUUUGUUUUCAUUUUACAUCUUUAAUUUUUUAAACAUCCUAUUCAAAUUUGCCCUGGUCUUUAGAGAAAUUGAACCCACUACUAAAGGCAUAUACAUAAAAUGCAAUUUCCAUCAUUCGGGAAGAAUAAAUUCAUACCAGUAAUGACACAUGAGACACAUGAUAAUCUAUAAAGAGAUGCCUCUUCAAUCCAGUGUGCCAACUGUAGUCACUUUGAAACUUGAAAGUACCAAGCUACCCUUCAUAUAAAUAGAUACUUAUUGCCCACUGAUUGCCCUCACUCUUCUCUCUCUCCCGCAGCUCUCUCUUCGCGCUCUCUUCCUCUCUCAGCGCUUUCUCUCUACAUCGUCGCUCCACGACCACCACCACUCUCUUUCUCCCUCUGUCGCGAAAACCUAAGCAUCACUCUCUCUCUCUCUCUCUCUCUCUCUCUCUCUCUCUCUCUCUCUCUCUGCAGUCGAUGUUAGGGUUUGUCGAGGGGGUUCUUGAAGGCCAAUCUCUGCGUCCCUCAGCUGCCCGGCCAAGGCUGUUCCUUCCACAGCGUCCUCACCAAUACCUACAAGCUUACUUUCAUGGAAUCCCCUUCUGGCAUUAAGGUAGCUUUUCCAGUUUUCUACGAAUCUCUUUUUUCUUUUUCUUUUUUUACUUUCACAUCUUGAAAUUAAGAAUUAUGGUUUGAUUGAAUAUGAAAUAUUUGCUGCUUCUGUUGGCAAUUUUCUAGCAUUAUAUCUAUCGAUUUAGGAUCGGAAAGAAAGGCCUCUUCUAUCACUCAAUUACAUUCUUGAACUUGAAUUUGUGCUUAGCUUCGAAAUUUGGACAUCCGUGGUUGUGUUUGUGUAUACCAAAUUGUCAUACAAUUAGAUUCAUUCUUAAUGUGCUGCUGCUUUCUUACUCUUUGUUUUGUGUUUGUGCGUGCAGAUUAUCUUGGUUACUCAUCCCAGUACCGGCGACUUGCGUGAAUCUUUGAAGUACAUUUACAAUUUGUAUGUGGAAUCUGUCGUGAAGAACCCGCUCUACACUUCUGGAACUCCAAUCAGGUAACUGGUUCAGUUUCGAUUAUCGUAAUGUAGGAAAUGAUCAAUCUUCAUCUCAUAGGUCAUAAAUAGAUAGUCAUGCCUACUACAUGGAUUAAUAUUAUCAGUUUUAUAAUUCUCUGCUCACACUGCGUCCCAUUUAGUGAUAAACAAACUGUCUCCUUGCAUGUUUUUUUGCACUAUAACAAGCCUAAUAUUUGAACUAGUUUAUCUCUUGGUUUAGAAGGCAUGUUUGAUGCGUGUCAUCUUAUUGUUAGUAUUUUGUAAACUCUGUUUGUUAGAACCUACCUACUUUUCUUUUUCUUGUAUAUAUAGUUCUAUUGAAUUAGUUUACUGGUGGCUUAUCCAUCUUUGAUCAGAGUUAAAUAUAUAGUGAGUGGAGAUAUAGAAGAGUAGGAUGUGGAAGUGUUUAAGACCAGGGGUAGUAUUCAAGAGGAUACCUGCUCUGCCCCUUAAGAUCUCAACCAAUUCCAACUUAAUACCUCAGGUUCGCUUCUCUUAGCUUUCUGGGAUUCUUCUUUUAUUGUUUUUCUUUUCUUCAUGUUUUGCUUUGCGUUUGUGGGUUGUAGUCUAUAUGUAACAUAAAACUUUGAUUUCCCUUCAAAGUGAGGUAUAUUACAUAGGAUUGACAUGGAUGUGCCAUUCUUAACUGUUCAUUAUUUGCAGGGGUAGCUUCUGAAGUUAGAUGUAGUUGGUGUAUCUUGUGAAUGAGCUCAAGUUUAAUAUUCGUGUUAUACAUCUGUUAGUGAUGGUGUUUUAUGGAAAUAUAUAUUAAGGAAUAGGUAAAUGUAAGACUCGUUUAUUUGGCUUAAUGUUUCUUCUUCUUCUUUCAUUGUUACAAAGUUCCAUGCAUAUCUGGUGUGUGUACCACACCAUUGCAUGCCACUUCUUCCCAAUUGAUUGCAAGUGAUCUUUCCUGUUCCUGUUGUAAAAACCCUUCUCUUCCCUGGAGCUGUUGCAAAUGGUGCACCAUGGUUAGUUACAGGGAAAUUGCACCAAUAAUGUGAUUACUUAAAAACUUGUAUUGGAUUAUUUGGAAACUAAAAAUUAAACUUAGAGGACUAUUCAAGUUUGUAGAAACAACUCACAAGAAACACUGAAAAACUUAAAUGAUACAAGGGUAUUAGGCAAGGACUUACAGGUGGAGUAUAUCCAGGUAAAUUUUGCGAGUGAGCAAUCACAAAAUAACCAGAUCCUCUAAGCUUAAUGUCCGUAUAUAGAAGGAACCUAGCCUAGGGAGACAACAUUGCACGUUUAACAGAAUUGAAACACAAUUAAAUUAAUCACGCUUGUGACUAUCUGUUUUGAUAAACAUCAAAUUUUGUCUUCUUUGAAAUGUGUGUGUGUGUGUGUGUGUGUGUGUGUGAAUAUUUCUCUGUUCCUGACAUGAACACAUAAGAAAUCCAAAAAUAGGAGGACAGGUAUAGUAUUUAGCCAUGUGUAAAGGAUGCGCUCCAAGUAUUUCUGGCUUUGAGCUUGCUGAAAAAAAGAUACAUCUGACAUAGUUCUUAGGCAAUCGACAGCAAUCUAAAAGGGAUAAAAAAGUAAUUGUCAAAAUCACGAAGCACGAAUUACACUCAGCAGGUAGGCAUUGUGGAUGAAAAAGAUAACCAGAGAUGUUGGCUGAUUCAAUCAAAACUAACCAGAGAUGUUAGUAUUCUCAAGGAAACAUAAUGAAAACCAAAGAAGAUAUCAAUUCCAGAAAUUACCCUAAUAAAAAACUUCCUUCUACCUACAACUAACGAUCCCGCAAUACCAUAUGAUGGAAGAUCUUUGUUUUGUUUCCACAAGUUUCAAUCAACAACACCUACAGAUGACAUUCCGAACCACACAAUUACCAUUUUGAGCCAUCAUUGACAUUUGAAAAACUGAAGGAGAGCUGGCUCCCCAGAUAAUUUAUUGGAAGAAGAAUGACAACCUUAACAAUCCCAGCAAAGCCAAAUACUCUCAAACUGCAUAAAAACAAACAAACAAAAAAGCCUCAAAUAUGCACUUGGAAAUUUUAGGGUUAGGUAAAUCAAUUAAUGAAGAGAAGUUCAAUGCUUUAAUUGGAGGCCUGCUUUCAUUGUCCUCUGUCAUGGCUAGUCCCUAUAUUUGAGAAACGCAGAGUUAAGAGUCUUUAUAUAAGUUUCAGUACACUACAAAUUUGACUUCUUUAUGACUUCACCAUGAGUAUUGUUUGAAAAUGGUUAACAGGGAACAAAUCAAAGAUGCAGACGAAGAACAUAAAAAUGAAAAUGGGUUUCAGAAUCAGUAUGCAAUAGAUACCAAAAGAAACACACACAUAUUCAAAAGCUCACAAAAUGAUUUCAAUAAAAACAGAAACGCAAAGGUCCAAAUGUAAUCAGAACAGAAAGGUUAUAAAUAAAUACAUACCUGGAUGCCCCGUUUCAACGAUCCGAGACAAGAACCCGAUAGCCCAUUGCGGCAACAACGGACAUUUUGGAACUGAUCCACAUCGAGCUUCUUUCUGCGUUGGAUUUGUAAGACGAGAUAACCCUACGUAGGGGAUAAAGAUUGAGUUUUUUUUAUAGGGAAAUUGACACAGAGGUGGGUUUCGCGAGAGAGGGAGAAACAGAGUGGUGGUGGAGGUGGAGCGACGAUGGAGAGAGAAAGCGCUGAGGGAGGAAGAGAGAACUGUAAGAGAGAGAGAGAGAGAGAGAGAGAGAGAGAGAGAGAACAAUGAGGGCAAUCAGUGGGCAAGAAGUAUCUAUUUAUAUGAAGGGUAGUUUGGUAUUUUCAGGUGCCCAUGUGAUUAUAUCAGAUUAAAAUUUGUAAAGUGAUUAUAUGAGAAUAAGGGUUUGCAAAAUGAUUAUUUGAGACAAUUCCCUUGUAACUUCCUCUGUCCUUUCACAUUAUUUGUUGGCACGAUGGUUGUCUCUUUUCUUUUCACUACGAGUUGUGAAAGAUUUUAAUGUCCUUUUUUGGUUCUGUAUUGAACUUUAUUCCUUUACUUUUUUUGACACAGUAGAAUUUUAAUGCCCACAAAAUCAUUACCGUGUUCCCUGCUAGCUCACUCACUCAAUGAACUAUUGAAGCGGGAAGGGAGGACCCCCAAUAAAACUACAAAAUUCGAUAACAAAAAGAAAAAGUAAAGGUAAUGCCCGUCAAAAGAAAAAGUAAGGCAUCUUAAAAAGUAAAGGAAAUAUCACCGUUUGAUCACUUGCAGUUGCAAUGGAUUUUCUUCACCAAAAUUCGUGUAGACUAUCUAAACACAAAGCUAAUUUUCCGUUUUUUUAUUUAUCAUAAGGGCCUUUGCAAAGAAUCUUUUCAACAUUUUUCCGCCGUGUGGAUUCGGUGUGUAUAUUGUCAUGUGAAUUUUCAUAUCAUUUCUUGCCAUGGUGGUUUUUGUUUUCUUUUUUCGUGGAAAAAACGGAUAGGUGAAAAGAAAAGCAAUUGACUUGUGUAAUAUAUAUAUAUUUUCUCUGAGUACCUACUUUUUCAUAAUGUACCUAUUCAUCUUGUAGCAAAAAGCGUGUUACCGACUCCUUACGCUUGAAGGUGCAAAUGAAAUUUCUCUUCAUGAGGUGAAUCCAGUCAAUGAAGGCUAAAUAAUUGUGAAGAGAUGUUAGUCAAAAAGAAAAAAGCAUCAUCAUGAAUUGAUGAAAAAAAGCUGUUGUGCCUAAGAAAGGUUCUUUUCCGUAACCUUUACCAUUUACUAUUAUGGCUCUCACAUGCACUUCGAAGACUUUGAUCACAAGACUAGGAGUGUGCCUCUUUUUUUUAUUUUUGUGGAUGUUCAAUUUCUAACAUGUUAAAUCAUGUUACACAGUAAUUAGCCACUGCUUAAAGACAUUGAUAUGCCUUUGCUUUGAAUUAUUAUUCAAGUUUGUAGAAACAACUCACGAGAAACACUGAAAAUCUUAAAAGAUACAAGUGUAUUAGGCAAGGACUUACAGGUGGAGUAUAUCCAGGUAAAUUUUGCGAGUGAGCAAUCACGAAAUCACCAGAUCUUCUAAGCUUAAUGUCCAUAUAUAUAUAGAAGGAACCUAGCCUAGCGAGACAACGUUGCACGUUUAACAGAAUUGAAACACAAUUAAAUUACUCACGCUUGUGACUAUCUGUUCUGAUAAACAUCAAAUUUUAUCUUCCUUCUUUGAAAUGUGUAUGUUUGAAUAUUUCUCUGUUCCUGACAGGUAUAGUAUUUAGCCAUGUGUAAAGGAUGCGCUCUAAGGAUUUCUGGAUUUGAGCUUGAUGAAAAAAAGAUAUAUCUGACACAGUUCUUAGGCAAUCGACAGCAAUCUAAAAGGGAUAAAAAGGUAAUUGUCAAAAUCACGAAGCACGAAUUACACUAAGCAAGCAGGUAGGCAUUGUGGAUAAAAAAGAUAACCAGAGAUGUUGGCUGAUUCAAUCAAAACAAACGGAUGAUCUAAAUCAAAUAAAAGACACUGAAAACCCAUUAGUAUUCUCAAGGAAAUAUAAUGAAAACCAAAGAAGAUAUCAAUUCCAGAAAUUACCCUACUAAAAAACUUCCUUCUACCUAUCAUGGAACUCACGAUCCCACAAUACCAUAUGACAUUGGGGCACUAAAUUGUUGGAGAUUGAUCAAAUGCAAAACCAAAUGACAUUGGAAUCAACAUCCAUCCACAUUCAGAUGAUGAUAUCAUGGCAUGGAAAUGGAAGAUGUGAGCUUUGCUGGUGCAGCUGAGAACAUAAGGUCCAUAUUGAUCAAGCAGACAAUGGAAAUCAAAAUAUAACAUAUCUGUAAACGACAACAUAAGAGUUGUUCAUCCUUCUCCAAUUUUAUCAUCUAUGUUUACACCAUAGUGAACCGAGCAGACCCAGCAUCAAAGCGACUAGCACCAAGGCAGCCACGCCUUCUUCCUUGCCGAAGGAAGACACACUUUGAGGUGCCAGACACCUGCCGAAGCUCCCAAUUGCCAAACCUAAUCUCCAGGACACGUGUCGCCACCACGACGACUUGCACAAAGUCACACAUUGAAACUUUGUGCAAACCUCCUACUUUCACCUCCCUAUAAAUAGGGAACAGUACCCAAGUAAAAAGAGUAACUACUUUCUCACUUUUACUGUUAUUCUGCCAAAGUUACCACUUAUAGCUGACUUAAGCAUCGGAGAGCAUUCGGCCGGCACCACACCGAUGUCCGAAGCUUAACAAUUGCUUCUCCCAUUUUGUCUUCUGCAGGUCCCCCACCAGCCUAUUUCACAAAGGGCCUUAGCCCUCUUCUCUAUUGAAGAUUCCACACACCUCAUCACUAAGUUGGACUCAAUAUUGACCGAGCCAUUUUGAGCAUCAACAGUUUGGCACCGUCUGUGGGAAUCGACACCAAAAUCCCCUCUUUCUCUAUCAGCCCAGCUGGCUCCUUCACCCAUCAGGCCUCGUCGCCUCUUUUUCACCCCACACUCUGCUAUGCCGACCAGGAAACCUUCGAGAGAUGCCACUCUCCAAGCAGAAGUGGAGCGCCUCUGCGAUAGUAUUACUAAAAUGUCGGAGAAAUACGAGCAUCUUCAUUGUAGGAAUGUUGAGCUAGAGCAUGACUAUCAUGCUCUAAAGAGGAACUAGGAGAGGACUCACACCCAGGAUGCCCAACAAGACCUCACCCAGAAUGUUGGGCAUACCCAACCAAAUCAGCUAGUACAUUCCAGCCACAGUGCCCCGGCCCAAUCUAGGCUCCGCAAGGGCAAAGGCCACCUUCAGCCAGAGUUAACCCAGUCGCGACUCGUUUGCAUUUCCCCGCCGAAGGACCUGCCUCAUGAACCAGUCAGGAUCUACAGAGAUUGCAGGGAACACAUCUCGGAUCGUCAACCAGAGCCGAUCCCUAUUCCUGUUAACCUCGAAGACCCACAGGUGACACACCUGGGGCCCCAACCAGGGCCCGCCUGCUUACCCGACGAUGAAGGCGUAGGGAAAUCGGAUAGCUGGGAAAUUUAUAAUUCAGAAGCUUGGCCACCUUACCACAUCGAGGCCUUGGAAGAUUGGGAACAUUCCCCAGCCCCUGUCUGCCCACCCCGCAGGCCUUUAGCACCCGAGACUCUCCUUCACGCCUACCCGGCCAUGAGGCUUCUCUUUGAAAAGGUACGGCGUCUGGAGAGCGAACAACAUCGCAGCCAUCAACCCCUCUGGGCAAAACCACGACCGGGGCCCUUUACUGAACGUAUCCUCCACUAUCACCAGGAGAAAGAUAUCCAGCCGCUCCGCAUCGCCUUCUACACUAGCACGGAGGACCCUCUCACCCAUAUCCACUCCUUCCAGUAUGCCCUUGGGUGCAAAGGCCUCACUGACGAAGGCAUGUGCCUCCUCUUCCCUUCCACCCUCAGCAGCGCGGCCCUAAACUGAUUCUAUAGACUCCACCCCCGCACCAUCAACUCGUUCGACAGUCUCAAGCACACAUCCAGACUAAUCGCCUAUACUCCGCCGACGACUUGUAUAUGUUUCAGCAAGCUGAGGACAAACCCCUUUGGGAAUAUGCAGCCCGGUUCAGUCACGAAUACUCCCGCUGCCUAGAGACUAACGAUCGCGCUGUCUUCGGGGCUUUUAAGAGUGGCCUCCGCGAGUCCAACUUUCGCUACCUGAUUCAUAGGAACAGUUGGAACACAUAUACAGAGCUAAUGAAGCAGGCAGCGGUCCAUGCGAAGGCUGAAUACUUCAUUUCCAAGCGUGGCCCAGCCAACCUGGCGCGUAACACUUUCGCCGAUCAUCCACCUGCUUCAGUACCUGCUUCAGCCCUACCUCAGCAUUCUACCCCCACCCCAAGUACCAGGGUACCCAACAACCAAAACGGAAGGAUAGCUACCAACACCCCUUCAGCAAUAACAAACGUGGCAGACAUGGCAACCACCACCAAUCUAGUGGAGGCAACCCUCCCAAGACAACUGAUCGGGCCCUACUUCCCUUCACACCCAGGCCCAGGUUCGAGGUUUUUACCACCCUCAACACCACCUAUGAGAACGUCCUGCGUGAAGCUCCUAUCAUCCCCAAGCCACUUCCCCGGAGACCAUCCGGCAAGCCUAUGCCAAACACGGGUGUCUUCUGCCGCUUUCAUCAAUUCAGCGGCCAUGACACCGAAUCUUGUGUUGCGUUGCGCAACAUAAUUGAAGGGCUCAUCCGUGAGGGAAAGCUGGACAACUAUGUGCACAACUUACCACCCCCGCCUAACCCUCACCAACGACAUAUCAACAUGAUCUCCACCAUCAGUGGUGGUCCUACCCUGGCUGGCACCUUCAACAACUCCAUCAAACAUUAUGUCCGCUCCACCUAUGCGCACCAGGUCUUCAGCACCAAGCAGGGACGCUUGACGAAGACCCAAAAGUCUGGCUGGGGCCCCAUUACCUUCUGCAAGUAGGAGGAGCGUGGUGUUAUGCUCCUCCAUGAUGAUGCACUCAUUAUCCGUGCGGACAUUUCUAAUUUCGACGUUGGGCAUAUCUUGGUGGACACUGGCAGCUCGGUCAAUGUGAUGUUUGAUGACGCUUUCAAUGAGCUACAGGUCCCGUCUCACUUACUCGACCGAAGCAUCACAACCCUUGUGAGCUUCUCAGGUGAUGUGGUCCAGCCCAUUAGCAGCAUUCAUCUCCCUAUAUCUAUUGGGGUUGCACCCCAGCAGGCGACGAUCACUACCCCCUUCCUUAUCGUUAACUGUCCCACAGCUUACAACGUUAUCCUUGGACGCCCGCCUUGGCCCAAAUGAGGGCUUUUAUUCCCACAUAUAUGUUGUUGCUGAAGUUCCCUACGCCUAAUGGCACAGGCACGGUGCUCGGCGACCAACUCAGCACCCAAAGCUGCUAUGCUUCAGCAGUCAAAUCUACCAAUCGCCAACAUAAGAGUAAGGCCCUUGCAGUAACCAAGGCUUCCGCCCCUCCUCAAGCUGGCACAGAACGACCUGAGGACCCAAGGGAGGAGUCUGUCACACAACAGGCAUAACCUGUGGAAGACCUAGAGCUUGUUACUCUUCAUGACGAUAUCCCGGAUCGACAAGUCCGGAUUGGCACCUCCAUCUCGCAAGAGCUCCGCUUUGACCUCAUCGCCUUCCUCCGCCUCAACUCCGAAGUCUUCGUAUGGUCCUACAAUGACAUGCCUGGCAUAUCACCAAACAUCAUAUCCCAUAGGCUCAGCGUCAAUCUUGCCGUCCGACCCGUCCGACAGAAGCGUCGCGCUUACGACCCCGAGCGCUUUGAGGCCAUCAUGGCGGAGGUGGAUCGAUUGAGUAGUAUCGGAUUCAUCAGGGAGGUUGACUAUCCUACAUGGCUGGCUAAUGUAGUGAUGGUCCGUAAACCAAGAAAGGGCUAGCGCAUGUGUGUAGAUUACACUAACCUUAAUCGGGCCUGCCCAAAGGAUAGCUUCCUCCUACCCCGCAUUGACCAGCUGGUCGACGCCACAGCUGGCCACGCCCUCCUUAGCUUCAUGGAUGCUUACUCAGGUUACAACCAGAUCUUCAUGCACCCCGAAGAUCAAGCCCACACCUCCUUCAUUACGAAUCGUGGCCUCUACUGCUAUAAGGUGAUGCCCUUCGGCCUUAAGAACGCCGGGGCUACUUAUCAGCGUCUAGUGAACAGCCUCUUCGCCCCACUGAUUGGCAACACCAUGGAAGUAUACGUUGAUGACAUGCUGGUCAAGAGUCGCACAGCUGACAAACAUAUCCCUAACCUCUCUGCCAUGUUCACCAUCUUGAAGCAGUACAAAAUGAGGCUCAACCCCACCAAAUGUGCAUUCAGGGUGGCUUCCGGCAAAUUCCUUGGCUUCAUGAUCAGCCAGAGGGGUAUUGAGGCCAGUCCAGAAAAGAUCCAGGCCAUCUUAGACAUGACAAUACCUAAGACGGUCAAGGAUAUCCACGCCCUGACCAGAUUUAUCUCCAAGGCCACUGACCGCUGCGCCCCAUGCUUCAAGGCACUUAAGGGCAGCAAGCGAAGCAUCACCUAGACUGCUGAAUGUGACACGGCUUUCAGCUAGCUCAAGGAGUAUAUGGGCCGGGCCCCUUUAUUGUCAACCUCUGAGCGCGAGACAUCCUCGUGAUUUAUCUCUCUGUCUCAAUUUCGGCAGUUAGCUCUGUGCUCAUCCGACCAAGGGAUAACGCGGAGCACCCAGUGCACUAUGUUAGUAAAGCAUUGCAGGAUGCCGAGGUCCGGUACCCAAACAUUGAAAAACUGGCGUUCGCCCUGGUCAUCUCGGCUAGACGCCUCCGAUCAUAUUUCCAAGCUCACAUCAUCCAUGUCCUAACCAACCAACCGCUCCGACAAGUGUUGCAGAAACCAGAAACUUCUGGGAGGCUGGUUAAGUGGGCCAUUGAACUUGGUGAGUUUGAUAUUCACUACAAACCCCGCCCAGCUACAAAGGGCCAGGCCGUCGCUGACUUCUUAUCCGAAUUCACGGAACCCCAAGCCUCAGCAGCUACCCAGCUCAUAACCGAACCCAAUCUCCCUCCAAGCCAAGACCAUACCACCAGCAAAGGCACUUUUGACCUGACCCAGCCCUUAUAGACUUUAUUUGUGGAUGGCUCUUCUAAUGCCCAAGGGUGUGGGACCGGCCUCGUUCUCAUCUCCCCAAACAAGGUUGCCCUUGAGUACGCCCUCCGCUUCAAAUUCCAAGCCUCCAACAAUGAGGCCGAAUAUGAAGCACUCUUAGCUGGCCUUCGACUAGCCAAAGAGAUGGAUGCUAAACAAAUUCAGAUAUUCAGUGACUCACAGCUCGUUGUCCAUCAAGUCAACCAGGACUUCACGGCCAAGGAUGCCUCUAUGACAGCUUACCUCCAGCACACUCGGCACUUGCUUGCAACCUUCCACGCUCAUUCUAUAAACCAGGUGCCACGCUCUGAGAACAGCCAUGCUGAUGCAUUGGCCAGGUUAGGAUCAGCCUUGGAGCAGGGCAUAGGUCGCCACAUCCACAUCGAAUUCUUGGAUCAGCCCAGCACACAAGCCCCACUCAUAUGUACCAUUGAUCACAGCCCUACAUGGAUGGACCCCAUCCUUCAGUUUUUGCAGAACCAAACACUACUGGCUAAUUCUACUGAGGCACGACGCGUUCGCUAUCAUUCUGCCCGAUACCUGAUCAUUAACGGCUCCCUAUACAAGCGGGGUUUCAGCCUUCCUUACCUCCGAUGUCUGACUCCAGAGGAGGGUCAUUAUGUCAUUCGGGAAAUCCAUGAAGGCAUCUGCGACAACCACUCGGGCGCACGCUCACUGGCUCAUAAGGCAAUUCGUCAAAGAUACUUCUGGCCUUCACUCCACAUUGAUGCCCAGGCCUUCACCCAAAAAUGCGACAAGUGUCAGAGAUUUGCCAACAUUCCACAACUCCUGGCUGAACCAUUGACAACCAUGGUCAGUCCUUGGCCAUUUGCCCAAUGGGGACUGGACCUCAUUGGACCAAUGCCUGAGGGCAAGGGCUAAGUCAAAUAUGCAAUUGCAGCCGUAGACUACUUCACCAAAUGGGCUGAAGCCGAGCCUUAGCCACCAUCACUGCGGCCCGCGUCGAAACCUUUGUGUGGCAAAAUAUCGUAUGUCGCUUCGGCAUCCCCAAUCCAUCGUCACAGACAAUGACCGGUAAUUUGACAAUGCAAAAUUCAAACAAUUUUGUUUUAACCUCAAGAUCCGUCUUUGCUUCGCCUCCCCAGCCCAUCCUCAAUCCAAUGGCCAGGUCGAAGCCGUGAACAAAAUUAUCAAGAAGACCCUAAAGACAAAACUUGACAAAGCCAAGGGCUGCUGGCCAGAACUACUUCCGGAAGUUCUCUGGUCCUACCGCACCACAUUCCGCACCUCCACAGGUAAAACGCCGUUCUCUCUAUCAUUUGGUAACGAAGCCGUGGCACCAGUGGAGAUUGGCUAGCCCGCAUACCGAACCUCCGCUUACGAUGCCAAGGCCAAUGACGAGCAAUUGGCCCUAAACCUCGACUUCAUUGACGAGCUUUGUGACCAAUCCAGCAUGCGCAAUGUCGCGUACAAACAACGCAUCGCCAAAUACUACGACUCCUAAGUCAAGCCCCGUGCUUUCAAAAUGGGGGAUUGGGUCAUGCGCAAGGUUUCCUUGGCUACCAAAAAUCCUACUGAAGGUACCUUCGACCCUACAUGGGAGGGUCCUUAUGAGAUUAUCAAAAUCUACCGCCCCAGCACUUAUCAGCUUCGUGAUCACAAGGGCAAGACGUUGCCUCAUCCUUGGAACGCUGAUCACCUCAAGUACUACUACAAGUAAACAUAUCUAGACCCUAGGACAAUACUUUAGUCUUGAGCAUUGACUAUAAGUAAACUCUUGUACCUUCUGCCUUUCGGCACCUAUUUAAAUGAAACGCCUGACUCCGGCUAAUUCCUAUCCACUCACAUGAUUAUCAUUUUACUAGCACAACUGAUAUCACAUAACAACAAGUCUCAUAUCAUAAGCAAAUCAAAAUACCCUUGCUCCACGUAAGGCAAAAUGUUCAUACAAAGUGUUUUUAAUAAACAGCUGGAAUAUAUAAAGAAGGCAACGCCUUUAAGACUCAGUGGAGGGGGCAUCCCUAGUGGCCGACUCCUCCUCUGGCGUCGGGAUAGUGGCAUCAGCAAUGGGACUCGGUGCAGGAGGCUCGCCACUCGUAUCAAAGUUAAUCUCGACCGAGGGGUUCAACCUAACCAGCCUAUCCUCCCAGCGAAGCUGCUCAUCAACUAGUCGGUCCAUAAUGUAACUCCUUAGCUCCUCUGAAGUUUGGAAUGACUCGAUCGCUUCGACUCGGGCAGCAGCUACCUCCUCGGCCUUCGACCUCUUCAGCUCAUCCACCUCCUUGGCUAGGGCCGCCUUUUGCAACAACAGAGUGUUCUUCUCUCGGAUAGCCUCCUGCACCUCCGCCAUCUUGCUCUUGGCCAUCUCAUCACGCCUCUUCAGCCUCUGGAUCUCUUUAUCUGCCUUGGCCAUGCUGACAUACAUCUCGCCAAAGGCCUGCAAAACAAAACAACAUCAGUCAGACCAAACAAGAAUGAUCCGAACAAAUUCACAAACAAGGCCACAACUCACAUAAGCAGAAGUGAGGAUCGUUUUCUGGGACCGAUCUAUAUAGGAAGAGGCUGGGGUUCUCGCCAGAGCCUCGGGGUCACUCUUCACGCCUUUCAGGAAGACGUUAACUAGGGGCACCUCCUGCCGGUGCGUGGCCAAGUUCACCUCCUUCUUCUGCUGACGUAGCUUACCGAAGUCCACCUUCUCCACCCGUUCAGCAAACAUGUCCUCCAUGCCGAAUGAGAGCUUUGGUGGCGCCUACAGAUCAAAGGGUGGAAGUCUCGACCCCGCUCCUAUCACAUGCUGAUGAGCUUCCUCGAAGGCUUUCCUCUUUCCCAGCACGUCAGCAACCCGGCCCUCAUCAUCAUCUCUGGGGCGCUUCCCAGUACGUUUCUCUGCCUUCUUGGCCCGAGACUCCCUUAGCCGCUUCUGCAUCUCGGCAUCAUCAAUAUCCACUGCCACCUUCGUGCUCCCUCUUAUAAUACCCGCCACUGUCAAAACAAAACAAAACGAACAAAACAACUACGUUAGUCACAACCAGAAAGGGCUCAUAAGACAAACAACAAAAGUAACCCAGGUACUUACUUCCUUGCAGGAGUCCAGACUCCAACAAAUUCUUCUGAGUGACUAGGUUCCCGCACUCAUGCUCGGUCUCUGAUAGCUGUGCCCUCACCCACUCAACCUCGUCUUCCUGCUCCUUAGAGAUAGGCCCCCACUUCACUGAACCUGCACCAAAAAUAGAGAUCCAAGAAUGAGAGCAAAAAAAAAACAAAACACAAUCAAACAUCAAACAGUCUUAAGGGAUGGGGCCAAGGACCUAUAGACUGGAAAUGGGUAGGAAUGUGUUGGGUAACGAUCUUCCCUGGCGGACACUCCCAACCACCAUAAACCAUGCACCACCUGUUCUUCCAGAACUUUUACGACUACUAAAGUAGCCCCUCUCCUCCGCCUUUCGGCAAUUGGCUUGUACCUAGUUAAAAUUUCCCUGUUGCUUCAAAACCGAGUACAAAUACAUGAACUGCUCAAAUGUUGGCUCCCCCAACCCAACCAACCACCAAGCGAUAUACAUUCCAUGGAGAAGAAUCCAAAAGUUGGGAUUAUACUGCCCAGACGCAUACCCCAACUUAGUCAACAUCAUCUGCACCCAUGGAUGAAAUGGUAGUCUGAAGCCGUGCCGAUACAUAUCCGUAAAAAUCAUCACAGAGUCAUCCGAAGAAUAUCUAACUACAUCAGCCGCAGUGGGUAACCUCAAGCCCACGUAGGGUGGAACACAAAAGUCUGUCCGAAGCUGGGCCAACUUCACUUCUGUAAGCGUAUUCUGCCUCGCCAAAGGGACACCAACCCGAAUGUCUACUCCCUCUGAAACUGAAGCCACGGCUAUACCCACGGACCCCGAUGGUGAUGCCUGGUUGCUCGAACCCACCUCUAGCGUAUGAGGCAAGGCUAGAACCCGGUUCGCUAUAUCCUCUAACUCUAUUUAAUUCCUCUGCAUCUCCCUAUAUGCAGCCGACUCGGGGUCUACCGAUGGCUCACCCCUCUCCACCCCAUGCCCUAUCAUCCUACUUUCUAUAAUACCUUCUACCAUACCCUCUGUCUCUGAACUCUCCUCUUCAAAACAAACAUAUUGGCUGGGCUCUUCACUCUCAGUGUCAUCCCUACCAAAGGCAGGGGGGUCAUGACUUUCUCUAUCAUAACUUUCCGACAUGUACAAUAUGCAAAAACAAGAACAGGGAACUAAUGCACAUGCAAGAAGGAUCUAAACACAACAACACAAAAGGUUGGCUAAUCUACAUGUUUUUGGUUUACAAACAGGCAUUCAACAGGUUCAUCUCAAUGCUCAACGUGUUCAUCAUAUUCAUGCUCAUAUUCAAGGUGUUCUUCCUAGCCUUCAACAUGUUCAUACAAAGAAAGACAUUUCAAAUCAAAAUUUCAUGGAAACAAGGCCAAACCUUGUUUGCACCACCAUGAAAGACUUGCCGGAAAUCACCUUGGCCACAAGCGCCACCACCAAAUUUCGCCGGAAAUCUCCUUCUCUCCUCCUCUCCUUCUCACUUUCCAAACAAUUCUUUUUCCACAACUCAAGUGUGGUGCCUUCGCCACCUCAAGUUCCUAUUUAUAAUGAACCAAGGUUACCUAAGCCUCGGUUCACGAGAAAACCCUAGCACCCUUGUACUUCCCUCUCAAAUUUCCUGCACCUACACACAAUUUGCAAUUCAAAAUCCAAAAAAAAAAAAGCGGAGAAGAGAUUUCUCAUAUGACUUGCCGAACGGCAAGCCCCGUGCAGAAGAAAAUAGGGACUAACAAAAACCUUGUUGACUUAGCUCCAAGCCUUGACGAAACCCGAUUGGGCUGGCCCCAAGGUUUGACCCAAACCCAAGGGCUCAAAUUUCUUGCCAACUCUCCCUUGUCGAAACCCUGCUGCAAAGUCAAAAAAUUAAAUAAAAUAAAGUUUUGCCGAAAAGGUCCUGCCGAACGGCAGGUCCCAUGAAAGUAAAAUAGAGGGUCACGAAAUGGGUUACGGCAUCCUACCAGCUUAAAAUUGGAGCAGCCCUGCCAAACUAGCUCCAAGACCUCUCUACCCCUGCAAGAUCACCCCUCACGGCCCAACUCCACUCUCGAGUUUCUCAGCUCCAAGUUCACGCCAAAACUGCCAAAGAAACCAUGCCACAAUGCAUUUCGGAUGGCCUUGCCGAACGACAAGUCCCAUGAGAGAAAAAUGGGAAGUGUCACCGAGUUUCAUACCUUGCUGAACCACACCCUAUCGAUCCAGACCAACAAGCUCGCAGAACACCUUCAGACGACCCCUGCCGAUCGGCAGGCUCACGCCAGCUCCUCCCUGCCCUGCCAAAUUGGGCUAACAGAGCUGACUACAACAGCUUGCACAGACCCAAGACCCCAACACCCUUGCCAAACAACAAAGGCCGUGCUGAAUUUACGAAGGCCUCUCCACAGGUUCGGCCUCAAGGUCUCACCAAACCUGUAACGCCGACUCCAAGGGCUCCAGAAAAUAGCACAAAUCCUCACACCUGCCGAACGGCAGUCACGUGCUGCCGACGUAAAGCCCCUUUCAACUAAACCCAACUACAACCGCAGGAACCUAAUUCGAACUUAGAUUGCUGCCAAGAAGAUACCACAGCCCCAAAAUGUACUUAAUUCACCCUUGCCGAACGGCAAGGGUUGUGCUGAAGCAUUGGGGACUCACAAGAUGGCUCCCCCAAAAUCACAGUGCCUCCACGAAACCAGACCCGACUUGGUUUACUCACGCCUUCGGUACCUCACCAAAGCCAAACUAAGACUUACCGAAUCAGCACAAAACACUUUUCGAAAAACCUAGCGAGUCCACCCCAAACCCUUAUCAAGCUUGCCAAAGCCAAGAUGGCACCAAACCAAACCCACCCCAAGAUCAAUGCAAAGGUAUCAAACUUUCCAAAAACCCUUGCAGUUGUCGAAGCCUCCCUGGCUCCUUUUGAGGUAACAGAACAGCCCAGCUCUUGCCGACGACACCACAGGCCCUAAAAACUCUUAAUCUACCCUUGCCGUUUGGCAAGGGUUGAGCAGAAGCAAUUGCGGCGUCACGAAACCGGGUUUGGUCUGAGCUGCCCUUACCGAACCUACCUUCUUUCCAAGGAAAAUCUUGCCGAAAACUUCUGAACUACCGAACUAUUAGUACCAAAGCUAAUGAAGUCCAGCUGCAAGGCGUUACCAAGGCUGCGAAGGGGAGACCUCCAAAAAUAAAAAAUAAAAAAAAUUUCCCAAAUUACCCUUGCCGAACGACAAGAGCUAUGCCGACGUUGCGGAAGCUUACGGCCCCCCACUCACCGAAGCUUAAGUACCCAGACCCUUUCUUGCCGAAGCCGUCAGUACGCUGAAACUAAACCAAGACACAUAGCAAAGCGACUCGAAAUCAUGAUGAGAAAGACUUGCCGAAAGGCAGGUAACACGCUAAAAGAUCACUUGCGGCUGUGUUCCCAUCCCUCUUCCUCAAACCCUAGCACUUUACAAUUGCCGAAGCCCACACAAAACCGCCCAGCCUUCUUCCUAAGAGCCGUACCCUUGCCCAAAUCCUUGUGGUCACCCAAGGAUCUCAUCGAGGGCCUAGAGCCCAAAGCUUGAGUAUUCUUGCCAAAAGGCCCACGAGCAGCAAACCUCUUUCUCGCCGAAGCCAAGACCAGGCCCAGCCCCACAUAGCCCAGCCUGGCCCCUUGCUGAAACCCAACUGACUGCCCAGCUACCAAAGGCUUUUAAUCUCAUCAGAUUGACCUCACUAUUUGCCGAUGGCCUCACUAGGCCUGCCAGCUGAACGGCAAACAUCGGGCAGCCACAAAGCACAACAACAACAAAAAAAAGGCUAGGACCUUGCCGAACGGCAAGGACCAUGGAAGGAGAAUAGAGCCCCCAAAUUUUUCAAAUGGCUCAGCCUGCCGGAGGUCUAGCUUCCCAGCUUCCAAAAAAAAAAAAGGCUAGGACCUUGCCGAACGGCAAGGGCCAUGAAAGGAGAAUAGAGCCCCCAAAUUUUUCAAAAUGCCUCAACCUACCGAAGGUCUAGCUUCCCAGCUUCCAAAACAAAAAAAAAUGCCGAACGGCAAGGGCCAUGGAAGGAGAAGAGAGCCCCCAAAUUUUUCAAAUGCCUCAACCUGCCGAAGGUCUAGCUUCCGAGCUUUCCAAAAUAAAACAAAUUUAAAAAAAUUAAAAAAAAAAAAAAAAAGAGGACUCACUCACCCGAUCCUUCCCUUGCCGAAGCUUAGCCCCUAAAAUCUACGGACCCACCUCCCAACCUAUCUGCAGAAUGCCCAGGUACCCAGCUACCAACAGUUCUAGAGGCUCACACAGCUUGUAUCAUACAUUCCAUGUGUUGACGCAACUCCUAGCUUGCCAACUUGGGGGACUAGGGCUUGCCCUACGGCUCCCAAUGAAGCUGGAAUGCUCGGUCAUGAUUAUACAAAAACUCACAAGUUUCCAACCCAGAAGUUACUUCUCGACCGCAAACUUGGGGGACUACUGUUUACACCAUAGUGAACCGAGCAGACCCAGCAUCAAAGCGACUAGCACCAAGGCAGCCACGCCUUCUUCCCUGCCAAAGGAAGACACACUUCCGAGGUGCCAGACACCUGCCGAAGCUCCCAAUUGCCAAACCUAAUCUCCAGGACACGUGUCGCCACCACCACGACUUGCAUAAAGUCCCACAUUGAAACUUUGUGCAAACCUCCUACUUUCACCUCCCUAUAAAUAGAGAACAGUACCCAAGUGAAAAGGAUAACUACUUUCUUACUCUGCCAAAGUUACCAUUUAUAGCUGACUUAAGCAUUGGAGAGCCUUCGGCCGGCACCACACCGGUGUCCGAAGCUUAACGAUUGCUUCUCCCAUUUUGUCUUCUGCAGGUCCCCCACCAGCCUAUUUCACAAAGGGCAUUAGCCCUCUUCUCUGCUGAAGACUCUGCACACCUCAUCACUAAAUUGGACUCAAUAUUGGCCGAGCUAUUUUGAGCAUCAACAAUCUACAAUUACAUAAAUGAGAAGUUUAUUAGAUGAUCUACGUGGCCAACUGUGGUUAACGUUAGCCUUUGAUCAUUAAUGCAUUGCAAGUCUGUCCGUAGAAAUCUACCACCCUACAAACUGCUCUCAGCAAGUCUCAAUUGCCACUGUAUUCGUCUGGUGGCCUGAGCUUAAAGCAUUGGUGGGCUGGUAAACAAAAGGAGGAGUUCCAACUAGUUUAUGACAAUAUAAAUAUUCAUUUUCUCAAGUUUCCACGAAAUCUGACACUUUUGGGUUCUUAUCUUCAUUAGGAAAGCAGAGGUCAAGGCUAGGGUUAAAAUUCAUGGCAAGCGUUGUUAUUUUUAAAAUAUUAUUUGGACUUAACAAUGUUAAAAGAGAAUAAUAUUCAUUUGGAGUUUGACGUGUCAUAUUAUAGGUCUUUAUAUUAUUAGAACGAUUUAAAUGUAACAAAAUACAAGUAAAUGUAUGAUUAUUAUGUAGAGAUUCAAAAUCUUGAACAAAAAUACCUAUUUAUCAUGUAGUAAAAGAAAGCACGUCACCGUUAAAGAUAAGAAGUUACCUUGAAGGUUCAUACCCUUGAAGGUGGAGGCGAGCUAGGAAAACUGAGUUCCCACUUGGGGUUUGAAAACGAAGAUGAAAAAGAUCGUGUUCAUGUUGCUGAGAUAAUAUGGUUCCUUCUGUUGCUGAGAUAAACAACUUAGAAAACACAUAUGAAGGUCCAAAUGAAGCACAUGCACCCUCUCAUGGGUCAGAACCCGCAUGACAUGAAAGCAACUCUGUAAUUAUUAUUUUUUAUAUAGCAAUUUAUAUCAAUUGCAAAUAAUAGUAAAAUGUGGGACUAAAAAUGGAAAAAACAAAAUUUUGAAACAUACCAAACCCACACAGCCCACCUUAGGCAUGCACUUGGAAGAGACUUGUCUGCCUCUGGGUCUUCUUUGAAUUUUUGUGCCACUUACAAAACCACAAUGGCUCAAUUUUAGUAAUGCAGAUUAAGGGUUAAUUUUGACAAAAGCACUUGUGGAAUUGGUGCCUUCCCACUCAAAUUUGCAAAAAGUGGACAAUUGAAGGGUAUUUUGGAUAAUUGGUGCCUUCCCGCUCAAACUUGCAAAAAAAUGUGUCAUAAUUUUUUUUAACAAAAGUACUUGCGGAAGACACCAAUUGAUCAAAAAUACCCUUCAAUUGACAUUGAAAGCAGCGAAAAGGUAGGACCCAUGCGUGCCGCGUAGACAAUUAAGGGAAAUUUUGACGAUCGAAACCAGACUGCAAAAAAUUAAAAAGAUUAGGGUACAUGAUUGUUAAAAUUGAGAAUGUAAGGACAAACAUGCUUUAAGGGUGAGAAUUCAGGGUACUAAUGACAGGACCCGCCCCGAAAUUUCCCCAAGACCGAGGCGAAUCCCGUCUUUGUUCCGACAUCACCCCGAUGCCGGGCCCACUUACUAGAAACCGAGACUCUCUAUCAAAAUUUUGGCAGAGUCUCCCUUAUGAAUUGAACAAACCAACAAAAUUCAACCUGCAUAAAAAUACAGAAUAAUCCCAACCAGCAGCAUGCUUUACAGCAACUAAACAGUUUACAACAAAAUGGCCCCCGGCCUCACAAUUCAAACCCUAACAAGGGCGAUAACAGAGCAUGUCUAAGGACUUCAAUUUCAACAAAACAGAGUAUAAAGGAAAUAACAGGAAGAAAGAGUUCUACGAUGACUCAAGGCUCGGAAGCUCACGAUCCAGCUCUGCUGCGGAGCUCAGUUGACUACUGGCUGGGGGGCGCAAAACAGAAAAUUGUGAGUGGACAAAAAUAAAUUCAGUUCGGUGCAAACCAACGUAAUAUAACCCCACCGUUUAGAAAAUCAUGCAAGAAAUCCCAUGCAUCUCAAAACCGUCAUACUCAAGUAUAUAUAUAUAUAAUAUAUAUAUCAAGACAAAUCAAUACCAGAUGCCAAGUCCAAAAUCCAUAAAGAACGCUUUACAAAACCUGCCAUCCAAAACUUAUAAAUCUCACAACCAAACUCUCGAAAGCGUACCCAUUGGCACGACCGGCAAGGAAGUAUCCACACCGAGAAAACAAGAAAGAAUGAAUAGAUAUACAUAUAUAAUAUAAGAGAUAUAUAUAUAUAUAUAUAUAAAUAUAACCAUUCCUAGUUGUACCGGGGAAACAAUCCAACCGGGGGAUUGUUUGACUAGUCACCCUGGCAGAGUCCUCGUGAUGAGUCCUCAAUCCACCAUGUGACUAGGGAACGAGCCGUCCAACUGGGGGACCAACUCUCAGCCAUAACGUACCGUCGAUAACCUCAAAACCCGUACGUCUGUGAACAGUCCUACGCGCGCAGACUACCCAAUUAAGGGUCUACAGCAACAUCCCGUCAAGGAUGCCCCGGGUCCCGACAAUUCCAAGUAUCUCAAGUCUCCGUAUCCAAGUUCCACAUCAGGGGAGGUACAUAGGGUAGUGCUUACCGCACACCAAACUGACAUUCUAUACUCACCACUUUCCACAAUCUCAUCUCAACAACCCAAGUACCUCACACAUAACCAAAUAUAUAUAGAAAUCCCCAAAAUCCAUAUAUUCAUACUCAAGAUACUCAAAUACGUCAAAACCCAAAAUAUAUUUUCAACGCCUCAUAAAAAUAUCACUUUCAACAAUUUCAUAACUAAUAUAUAUUCAAAAUACCAUUUAAAACAUCAUGCAUAAUAUUUCCCAAAAUCCAUCGAAAAUAUACUUUCAAUACCCAACUACACCAAACCCACAAUAUUUUACCAAAGCGCUAUAAAAACAUCAAGUUCAACUCAUUAAUAUAAUGUAUUCAAUAAAUCAUUAAAAACAUUAUGCAUAAAUCUUUCAUCAAUAAAACCAUGCAUAAGAUUUGAAAACAAGGUCCACUCACAAGUAGUCCCACGCUGCUUAACUCUGAGAGGGUCCCGCCUGCUGUGUAUGCGUAGUCGAAGUACCUAAUUCAGAAUACGUAUACGAGAUUAAUACGAAGCGUUUGGAACGAGUACUUUAAAUUAAAUAUCCUAAUUUCCCAGGUCUCUAGUAAGUGUACUAGGAACGAGACGUUCUAAGGUCCAACUACCCAAUUUGGACGAUGGAACAACUUCGGGAGACACUCGGUCAACCGGCGGUCAAACUUCCCAAGUUGGGUCAACCGGGCCCACGGGACCCACGACCUCCGUUUCACAAUCCGAAAGUUCCUAAAGGUUUCACAAGGUCUAAGAUACCCGUCUCGCAAGUUUGGUCCGAAACGGACGGUUAGAUCGCUUACAAUCGGACAAUCAGACGGUUAUUAUAAAACGCAAACUUUAAGUUAUUGAACCGGAACAUCCGGGGUUCCGAUUCACGAUCCGCGAAUUCCUAUACGAUCCUAGGAAUACCUAGAACAACAUAUUUUAAUUCGGAAAGGAUCUAACGGUCGGAACCUAUCGAACCCGGAUAACGCACAAUAUGCGAUAAUCCGUUCGAUAGUCAAAUGAUGUCCGAAUUGAGAUCCGCGAAUUCCUAUGCGCUCGUGACAACCUAAGGAUCUCAUCGGGUUAAUUUGCAGCCUAACCAGUCUCGCCCACGCGCCGCCACACGCGCCGGCAGCGCGUGGGUGUGUAGAGUAAUUCCGGCGACGGAAAAACUCCACACCCGAGCUCACCCUUCCGGCUACAGAUUCUACUCGACGAGUGGAACACUUUAUUCAACUACACCAAAGUCCAAUUCGGACGGCAAGUGGCCGGAAUCGGUGUCGGAAACUCACGGUUUAACCCGGAACUUCACGGCUUCGAUCCGGCGACCACCGUCGACAUCGUCAUCGCGCAACCUAGGAAACAGCUAGAAGGGAAGGAGAGCUACCUGUUCCAAGUGACGGCGCAGCUUGCGACGGCCGGAAACGUCACCGGAGACGUCGGCAGUUUCGGCUGUUUUUCACGACGUUGCCACCGCCGUUCGCCAGGUUUUCGAUCGGAGAAAAGGGGUGGGCUGGGUAGAGGAGGAAUAGAGGAAGCUUUUGCAAGAAACGGCGCCUUAAAUGGUGGUCGGACGGCGAAGUUCUCGCUUCUGAAAUUCCGACGAAAAUUCGAAACGGGGAGGGGCUCAGCCACACGGGGAGAGAGAGAGAGAGAGAGAGAGAGAGAGAGAGAUCAGAUAUUUUAACCCAAACUUCAAAAUAUUUACGGUUUUGCCACUGUCGAUGUUUUGCCCGUAACUUCUUCGUUACAACUCCGAUUUAAGCCUACCGCGUGUCUACGAAUUCGUCUCAGUACCACCUACCCAAAAAUACCAAUCACUGCCCCAAACACUUUCCGGGCAAGAAAAUGACCAAUUUACCCCUACCCUAAGGGUAAAUUCGUAAAUUCACUUAAAUAAUUUAAAAUAGGAAUUAAAUUUGGAGUCGGGGUGUUACAACUAAAUUGAAAUUAACCAAAAAAUUAAUAAAAAAGAGUUUUGUAAAAAUAAUUUAAAAUCUUAGGGGGUGUUUGUUUAAUUUCUGAAAUUUCAGGGAGUUUUAUGAAAGGACCAAAAAACUCAAUGGGUGUUAAUGUAAAUAACUGAAUAAAAGAAUGAAAAAGAACAGUAAAUAACUGAAUAAAAGAAUGAAAAAGAACAUUAACACAUAAACUAAAUUACAACAUAAAAAAUUUAGUGCCUCAAAUAUAGUCUCGGAAAUCCCAUUUGCGAGAGAACACAUUUUCCAUUCAAGGAACCAUGUACUGAAAGAAAAAGAGAUACAAGCCAGCCUUAAUAAGAAAAAGAAAUACCAUCGUUUGACCAUUUUUGUAGCUGUCAAUGUAGGCCCAUUUCUGCUAUAUAGCAAUACUGGCCAUGUGAUGUGCACUAUCUUAAAGCAAUUUAUUCAGCAAAGAAAAGGUAAAGGAAGUUGAAACGAAAGUUCCUCACACCUUUAACUUAAUCACGUCCGCAUGGAAGAUGGUAGGAAACUGCUUCGUCAAGCCAUAGUUCUUAAGCCUUAAGCUAUUUGUCAUGUAUAUAAGCUUAGUUCUUACUGUAUCGUUUUAUUAAGAAAGAAAAUCAAUACAAAAUCAGAUAAGAUUCUCUCUGCGUCUUCUUCAAUUCUUCAAUGUUCUUCAAAUUCUUAUUCAGGCUUAUGGGGAGUUCCCCAUUGCCAAUUGAUUUUGGGGUGGAACCUCAACUUCCUUCAGAUCUGCCCCUUACAACCACUCAACCACCAGUCUCUUCUUCUCCUUCUUCUUCUUCUUUCACUCAUGAUUCAUCAUGGAUAUAUGAUGUGUUUUUGAGUUUUAGAGGUGAAGAUACACGCACCAAUUUUACAGAUCAUUUGCACGAGGCUUUAGUCCGUAAGGGAAUCCGAACCUUCAUUGAUCGAGAGCUUGUAAGAGGAGAAGAAAUAUCGCCAGCCCUUGUCAGAGCAAUUGAAGAAUCAAGAAUUUCUCUCAUUGUAUUCUCUGAAAACUAUCCAUCUUCGAGAUGGUGCUUGGAUGAACUUGUCAAGAUCCUUCAAUGUAAAGAAUCAAAGCAACAAAUAGUUUUGCCCAUUUUUUACAAGGUGGAUCCGUCGGAUGUACGAAAGCAAACAAAUAGUUUUGGAGAUGCAUUUAAAGGCCUUAUUCAAAGCAAAUUCAAGGAUGACAAGGAGAAAGUGCUCAUAUGGAAGGAAGCUCUUAGACAAGCAGCAAAUUUGUCCGGACAUACUUUCAAACAUGGAGAGUACGUAUAUUUCUAUCUUUAUCAUUUUCAAGAUAAAAUAUUAAUUGUUACUCAUUAUUAAAGAAAAGUAUCCUUUUGUAAAAAUAUAAAGUUUUAAAUCCUUGUUAACAUCUUUUUUUUCUUUUUUGGUCAGAAGAAUUAUUACGUACAAGAUCGUUGAUGUUGUGUUCUUUUGAGUGGUUGGAUGUUUAAAUCUGAUUCACUAAAUGUGUCUAAUUUGGUUAAACUUGCAGGUAUGAAGCUACAUUUAUCAACAACAUUGUUGAUGGAAUCUUAAUCCAAGUACUGAGCAGCACAUAUUGGAAUGUGGCCAAGUACCCAGUUGAAAUUCAGUCUCAUGUACAAGAUGUGAAAAAGCUUUUAGAUGUUGGUGGGAAUGGUCGUCGCAUGGUUGGGAUAUGGGGGACAUCUGGAAUAGGCAAGACAACAAUUGCAAAAGCUAUAUGGAAUGCAAUUGCCCAUGAGUUUGAAGGAAGUUGUUUCUUGCCAAAUGUCAGGGAAAAUUCAAUGCCACAUGGAGGCUUAAUCAAGCUACAGAAGACUCUUCUUCAUAAGUAUCUAGGCAACAAGUUGAAAAUUCAGAGUGUUGAUGAAGGAAUCGGUGUUAUAAAAGAACGGCUGAGGCAUAAAAAGAUUCUAUUAAUUCUUGACGAUGUGGACCACUUGGAGCAGUUAGAAAACUUGGCUGGAGAUGAUUGGUUUGGUGAGGGUAGUAGAGUAAUCAUUACUACAAAAAAUAGGGGAUUGCUAGAAAAUCAUGGGAUUGAGUUGAUAUACAAGGUGAAGAAGUUAGAUUACAACCAAGCUCUUGAGCUUUUCAGUUGGCAUGCAUUCGGAAGGAGUGAACCUCCAAAAGAUUAUUUGGAACUCGCACAACGUGUAAUAGCUUUUGCCGAUGGCCUUCCACUAGCUCUAACAAUUUUAGGUUCUCAUCUUCGUAAUAGAAGUAUUGGAAGUUGGCAAGUUAUAUUAGAUGGUUACAAAGGAGAACCUUAUACGCAUAUUGAAAGAAUACUUCAAAAAAGUUAUGAUGCCUUGGAUGAUGACGCGAAAGAAGUUUUUCUCGACAUUGCAUGUUUCUUCAAGGAUGCAAGUAAGGACGUUGUGCUACAAAUAGUCCCUAAAAAUUGCAUUGAAGUACUAGUUGAUAAGGCAAUGAUAACUGUUGAAUGGGAUCAGAGGAUUUUAAUGCACGACUUGCUACAAAAACUGGGCAAGGAUAUAGUUCACAAAGAAUCCCCCAAUGAUCCCGGCAAGCGUAGUAGAUUGUGGUUUUACGAGGAUGUCAUACAAGUUCUAAUGGAAAGUACUGUAAGUAUCACAUGUGUUAUUAUAUUCAAUUUGACAUGAAAGAAUACCUUAUGUUACCUUAAUUUUCUUAACAAAAUGUGCUUGCAUUUUGAUUUGUGACUUCGUUUCCUAAUUAAUGCUUUUCCAUCUUAGGGAACAAGAAAGAUUAAAGGCAUCAUGGUGAAGCUUCCAGAACCAGCUGAGAUAACUUUGAAUCCAGAGUGCUUCCGUAAUAUGGUGAAUCUUCAAAUUUUCAUAAACCAUAAUGCAUCUCUAUGUGGGGACAUUAACUAUCUGCCCAACGCGUUAAGAUUUAUUGAUUGGCCUAAUUGUCAAUUACAAUCUUUGCCAUCCGAGUUUCAUCCGGUACGUCUUGCUGUGUGCAAUAUGCCCGCGGGUCGUAUCAAACGAUUGGAGAAAUUGAAGGUAACAAUUUAAAUUAAUUACUUAUUUAUUAUUAUUUCAAAUAGAGUUCUUAUUUUCAGGAAGAAACAAAAAUCUAAAGUUGUUUUUUUAAGGGUAGGGUGUGAUUUGAUAAUUUCCUAUUUUAUGUUUUUGUGUCACAGAUUAUGUCAAACCUGACAUCAAUGAAUUUAAGUGGUUGUAAAUUCUUAGAAAAAAUUUCUGACUUAUCCGGAAUCCCAAACAUAACGAACUUGAAUCUAAGUGACUGUACAAAUUUAGUUGAGAUUGAUGAUUCUGUUGGACUCCUUGAUAAACUUGUUCGAUUGAAUCUUGAUGGAUGCGGUAGGCUUACGAGGUUUGCAACAAGACUUAGAUCGAACUCCCUGAUGGAACUUUCCCUUGUUGGUUGCCGAAGGCUUGAGAGUUUCCCAGAAAUAGAGAUGGAAUCACUAUUUAGUUUGGACAUGGAAGGAAGUGGCGUAAGAAAAUUCCCUUCAUCAAUUAGCAAAUGUUUCAACUUGCGUAUGCUUAAAUUGCGUCGUUGCAAGAAUCUUCUGGAAAUUCCAGAACAAGCGCUUCCACCAACAUUAACUUAUGUAGUCAUUGAUUGCUGCCCAUCAUUGGAAAAAAUUCCAAAAGUGUCUUGGGUUUCGCUGGAUAACCGCACAUCAUUGGAGCAAAUUCCAGGAAGGAUAGAGAUAUGGUUGUACAAUUGCUUUAGACUACGAGGCAACGACAUCACAGAAAAUAUUUUUCUGAAUCUGGUUUCUGUUUCUCAUUUCGACAUUCGUCUUCCAGGCGAUGAAGUUCCAAAGUGGUUCAGCUGUCGUAAAGAUGGAACAACAGUUAGACCUUAUUUUUUUACAGGUCCUGGAACAAAGAAAUACAAUGGUGGAUGUGAAGUUAGUUUUGAAAUUCCUCCAAAUUUAAAAUGGGAGAUGUUAAGAUUGGUUCUAUGUGUUGCUGGUACUGGUGCUUAUGCCAAGAUUCUUGUCAAUGGAAAACUCGUAAAUUCGGAUGAGUUUGGUACUGAAUUAUUUGAUGAUAGUCAUGUGGGGUUCAUAUGUAUUCCAUUAAUGAAUCGUGAGUCAGGAGAACCACCGAGGUUGAAGCAGGGCAAUAUCUGUCAAGUUAUAUUUGGCUUGACAAGAUUACGGCGGACACCCCUUAAAGUAUCCUGCGGGGUCCACCUGUUAGGCCACCAGGUUGAUGUCCGUGAGACUGAUGGGACGCAGUGGUUGGCAGAUUUGAUGGCAGUUGACUAUGAUGAUUAUGAGCACCAUGUUUACUAUGAUGAUGAUGACGACGACAAUGUUGACGACGAUGAUGAUGAGCACGAUGUUGACGAUGAUGAUGAUAAUGACGACGAUGUUGACGAUGAUGAUGAUGAUCAACACCAAGAAAACGAAUUGCUUUCCUUGCCUUCAGCAUCAGAGACUAGUCUUGGCAAGAGGCCUCGGUCAUCAGAUUUCGGCACUUGAUGAUGAUCAUGGUGCUAAUGUCGUCGACUUUGGUGAUCAAGAUGCUCAAAGAGGAGGGGCGAAUCACCCAAAGAGGAGGCACAUUGAUCUUAAAGAGGAGCCAAAGCAUGUAAAUCCAUUAAAUGUUGAAUGAUAUCUUUGUAUUUUUUGGUCAUAUAUCAGCGUUUUGUGUUCAACUCAAAUUUAGCAAUAUUUGUUGUGCAUCUCUUGGGUAUAUGUUGUAGCUUUCAGGGUGUGAAUUUUUUUUCUUAUUGUUUUGGGUUAAAUUCUUUUUCUUAGCGCUUUACAUUCAAUAUUAAAUUUUCAGACAAUGAAGUUCCAAAAUAGUUUAUGUGAGCCCUAGGUUCAGCUACGUACCGAAACGAACCAAAUUUCCAGGCAAUGGUAUGGUAACAAGAGGUGUGUUGAGGCGUCAGCAGUUUCGGAGAUUUCAUUUUAAGUUGCAUAAGGCAAUACCUUUCUUCUCAAUUGAUGCAUCCAGCAUUUAUCAUAGGAUAAACAAACCCCGAUUUAUGUAAUGCUUUCAUUCCAAACAUAUACUUUGUGUAAUGCUUUAAUUCCACACACAUACUUUGUCUAUGAUUCAUCUAUCUCAUUCAUUGGAAUUGAUGUACGUCGGAUGAAAUGUAACAGAUUUAUCUAUUUCAUAAUUUCCAAUCAAGGUUUGUUUGAAAAUUAGACAUUAAUUGUAAACAGGCAUCCAAAUACGCCCAACAUAAUUUUGUCGAUAGUGUCAUGCAUAUUAUGUUGUUUUCUAACUCCUGUCUACUUUGCCAAUAGAUUUUGGUUCUUUGAAUACCAGUUGCUGUUUGAACAGCCCUGGUAGAGCUAACAUCUCCAAUGGCUCCAUUUACCCAAAAAGAAAUUGGCUUUAGAAACUAGGAAAAAGACGCUGGGAAUUAUAACUUAUUUCUUAGUUCACGAAAGCGCAUUAUCUUUGUCAUUGAAUGACCGGAUGGCUACCGUAAAUGUUGAAUGUCCAACUUUAUCCACCAAAAAUUAUAAGGGGCAUCUCAUAAUCAAAAGAUAACUACAACUUACAAUGUGAACUGACACCAAGUAAAACUUAUGACAAACAGGAAUAAAUGUCCCUACAACACAAAAAUUCACUUCAUACAGCAUUAUUAUAACAAGAGAGCGGCACAAAGCAGUGUGAAUGUAGACAAAUAUGCAUGGCAGAACCAUGUGUCCGUGGAGCGCUGCAAAACCGCCCACAUUGCCGCAAAGAAAAAGCUCCGCAUUGAAUUGGCUCAAACCAUCAUAUUCAAGCAUCACCAACUUGGUUAUAUUCCUACAUAAGCCACUGUCCAACAAAUACAAAAGCCUAUACCCCAUUUUUGCCACCAUUCUUGAUGUAUGGUGCCUUUACAGCUCUGCAUGGUGGCCUUGAAACUUGUUGAAUUGAGUUGUAUUUCCUAUCAUAUAGCCAGCCACACGGAAAGACCAUGCACAUACCACAAAGCAAAUAAUCUCGAACAAUCAUGAUCGAAAGUUUGCCAUUCGGAAGAGUUUUAGCCAAGCAAAUCUUUAAACAAGUUGGGAUUCUGACUUGUUGGGGUCACACCCAUCUGCCUUACAAGUGCAUCCUUUUCCAAGGAAUCUUUAGGGUUAGGACCCUUAUUCAAUUGUGUUACCCCACUUUGAGCAGUUCUUGUAGCAUUUGAUAACUCAGAUGCAAGAUUAAACUCAUCCCUAUUGGUCGGCAAAGGGUCAUCAACACUGCUACUGAGCCUGCUGAGAGAUGUAUCUGCAUAUAAUCCCAUAACAUCAGGUGUCUUAGCAGCAUCAGCUGCACCAUGAUUUGCAGUUAAUGCAACUUCAGUUUGAUCAAGAAGCCCUUCUAACUGCUUGAAAGGAUCUACAGUGGGAGCAGUACUACUAGUUGAGUCACCCAAAUCGAGCAAGUCUGGAGCAGGUUCAUGAUUAACUUCAGUGUGUACAGCUGCUGCCUUUGGUACCUGGGGCUUCUCUGAAGCAUGGAUAUUCGCCUUAGACACCUUAUGGUUGGCAGAAGACUGCCUCCUCUCGGUUUUUGAUGAUCCCCCAAACAGUGAACUGGC